GGGCUGUCUAUGAUGUCACAAAGGCAUCUGUCAGUUGCCUGGCUAUAAAGGUGGCCUCUCCCUCUUCCCAGCACAGACCUCGGUGGGCAGCAGCUCUGGGGGGUCUCCUUCCUCAGGGAGGCAAAAUGGCAGGAGGAAGGAGGCACUCAUCCUGCAAUGGGAUGCUGAGGAACAGGCAGAAGGCAAGUUCGCUUGCUGGGUGGGAUCGCAGCUUGAAGGCAGCCGAUUCUCACAGUCAGAAGCUGGCUGGUGUCUGGUAACAGACCUGGCAGAAGCCGGCAGGUGUUGGUGGCUGGUGGAGUUUGCAGUCAGAAGCCAGCGGGUGCCGUAAGGUGCUGCAGGUGUCAGCUGGCUGAAGGUCACCUUUGGAAGUCAGUUGACAGAAGCCGUGUGGAUAUUCAUGACUUGAAGCUGGGUGUGUGUGUGUGUGUGAAUGCGUCCACAGACAUUCCUCACGGGAUGGCAGAUGGCAUGUGUCUAUGAGUGCAAAUGGGAGGUUUCGAAUAGAGUGUGUCUAUGAGUGCAAAUGGGAGGUUUCGAAUGGAGUGUGUCUGCGUGUGUGAAUGGGAGCAUUCGGACGUGGUCCAGGUAAGUAGUGUUGUGGCUGGGAAAUACGUGCUCAGCGGGUGGCAGAUGCCAUCCUCUGGGCGCAGGGUGAAUGGAACCAGUGGAUAUUCAUGGGCAGAAACCAGCAGAAGUUGACCAGGACGUCCGGGGUGAAGUUGCCAGGCAGCAGCCAGUGGAGGGUCUGGCUGAGGCUGCUGGACGGAGGCCAUCCCACUCACCGUGGUGUUUGCCUUCCAGGAAGCCGGUGAGGUUUUCCCCAAGACCGAUCGUGAAAGUAAUGAAGAGAACAGCAGGACUCAAGCAAGGAAGUUUAUUUUCCUAAAAAAAAUGCCUUUUUCAAAAAAGCAAAACUGUGUCUGACCGGUUUCCUAUAUAGUGGUACCUCGGGUUACAUAGGCUUCAGGUUACAGACUCCACUAACCCAGAAAUAUUACCUCGGGUUAAGAACUUUGCUUCAGAAUGAGAACAGAAAUCGUGCUCCGGCGGCACAGCGGCAGCGGGAGGGCCCAUUAGCUAAAGUGGUGCUUCAGGUUAAGAACAGUUUCAGGUUAAGUACGGACCUCCAGAUCGAAUUAAGUACUUAACCUGAGGUACCACUGUAAAACAAAUGCAAUGCUAAGUUUCUAAAUGCAUACAUGUUUAGUGUUCUUUUUUGCCCCCUCCCAAUGGGGGGGGGGGUUUGCAGGUGUUUCUCUAGUUGUUGCCAAUGGCUACGAUGAUGUCAAAGUUUCUGUGAUGUCACAAGCAGACAUGGAUCGCUGAGAGGAAAAGCUGGAGGGGCAGGGAUAGAAAGACAGGGUGAGAAAGGCUAGAGAACUAGAUGGCUUUAAAAGAAGACUGGACAAAUUCAUGGAUUCGGUGGGUGCCAGAAGUUGCUGCAGAUGUCAGCUUUUUGAAGGUCUCCUUUGGAUGUCAGUUGACAGAAGCUGUGUGGAGAUUCAUGGCUUGAAGCUGGUGUGUUUGUGUGUGUUUAUGAAUGGAGAGCGGCUGGUGAGCGAAUGCGUCCACACACAUUCUUCCUGGGAUGGCGUGUGUCUGCGUGUGCAAACAGGAGCCUUCGGACAUGGUCAAGGUGAACAGUCCUUGUGUCUGGGAAAUGCAUGUUCCGUAUGUUAAGUCUAUUCUGCCAACUUAACAUAUAGAAGAAGAGAACAAGAAGAACAUACGUUUGAAGAAGGCUGGAAAACGUUGACUGAAUAUAUGGGGAAUAACUAUGUACAGAUUUCUCGUUGACACUAUGCCUGACCUGACACAUGUUGACCAACUGAUAAUUGUGGUUUGAUACUGAGCCACUGUCCCCUCCUGCUACUUCCCUUUCCCUGCCCGCAGCUUCCCCCUU
rnacentral:lncRNA from 1 species